rnacentral:rRNA from 1 species
CCUACGGGUGGCAGCAGUGGGGAAUAUUGCACAAUGGGCGAAAGCCUGAUGCAGCAACGCCGCGUGAAGGAAGAAGGGUUUCGGCUCGUAAACUUCUAUCAACAGGGACGAAAGAAAUGACGGUACCUGAAUAAGAAGCCCCGGGUAACUACGUCCCAGCAGCCGCGGUAAUACGGAGGGGGCAAGCGUUAUCCGGAAUUACUGGGUGUAAAGGGUGAGUAGGUGGCAUGGUAAGCCAGAUGUGAAAGCCUUGGGCUUAACCCGAGAAUUGCAUUUGAAACUAUCAAGCUAGAGUACAGGAGAGGAAGGCGGAAUUCCUGGUGUAGCGGUGAAAUGCGUAGAUAUUAGGAAGAACACCGAUGGCGAAGGCAGCUUUCUGAACUGAAACUGACGCUGAGGCACGAAAGCGUGGGGAGCGAACAGGAUUAGAUACCCUAGUAGUC